ACUGAUGGCUCUGGCCAAGAGCCAACACCAACUUGGCAGCCAUGGGACUGUGCCGCCUGAAAAACGGAUCCUCCUUCAGCCCCAGUCAAACCUUCAGAUGAUGCAGCCCUGGCUCUCAUCGUGACUGAGACCGUGUGACAGAUUCUCAGCCAGGACCACCCAGCUAGGCUGCUACCAAGUUCUUAACGCCGAAAAACUGUACAUAAUUCCAGGCACAGGAGAUCCAUCAAUAACCAAACAGAUGAAACGUCCUGCCCUCAUUGACAUUUCCUGUCUUGCCUUUGAGUGAGGGAGAAUGGCAGAACAAUGAAUAACCAAAUAAAACAAGUAACCAUAUAA